rnacentral:rRNA from 1 species
CACGUAGGGCGCAAGCGUUGUCCGGAAUUAUUGGGCGUAAAGAGCUCGUAGGCGGUCUGUUGCGUCCGCUGUGAAAACUCGGGGCUUAACCCCGAGCCUGCAGUGGAUACGGGCAGACUAGAGGUAGGUAGGGGAGAAUGGAAUUCCCGGUGUAGCGGUGAAAUGCGCAGAUAUCAGGAGGAACACCGGUGGCGAAGGCGGUCUGCUGGGCCGUUGCUGACGCUGAGGCGCGACAGCGUGGGGAGCAAACAGG